GAUGAACGCUGGCGGCGUGCUUAACACAUGCAAGUCGAACGAUGAAGCCCAGCUUGCUGGGUGGAUUAGUGGCGAACGGGUGAGUAACACGUGAGUAACCUGCCCUUAACUCUGGGAUAAGCCUGGGAAACUGGGUCUAAUACCGGAUAGGAGCGUCCACCGCAUGGUGGGUGUUGGAAAGAUUUAUCGGUUUUGGAUGGACUCGCGGCCUAUCAGCUUGUUGGUGAGGUAAUGGCUCACCAAGGCGACGACGGGUAGCCGGCCUGAGAGGGUGACCGGCCACACGGGGACUGAGACACGGCCCAGACUCCUACGGGAGGCAGCAGUGGGGAAUAUGGCACAAUGGGCGCAAGCCUGAUGCAGCGACGCCGCGUGAGGGAGGACGGCCUUCGGGUUGUAAACCUCUUUCAGUAGGGAAGAAGCGAAAGUGACGGUACCUGCAGAAGAAGCACCGGCUAACUACGU
rnacentral:rRNA from 1 species